CCAACACGCCCUCUUCCAGCACUGGCCAUGGGCCUGGCCCUGCCCCAGCCCUGCCUCGGGGACAGUUGCCACCCAGUUGAUUGGAGGAGGUGGAGUGGGAGAGGAGUGGAGAGAGGCCCCUAACUCAGCUCUCAAGCAGUCGGGGCAGGCUUUCUGGAGGAGCUGAAGUCCGGCAGAACCUUGUAGUCAAGUGAAUCACCUGGGCUGUGCCCAGAGCCCGACUGAGCUGAGGGCACGAUUCGCAGGCAGAGGGGGACGGGUUUGGAGCAACUUCCCCUUCAGCCUCCCUUCAUAAGAACUGGGGGGAAAG
rnacentral:lncRNA from 10 species